GAAGCCCUGUGUUUUUCUAUGAGUUCCAGCAUCGACCCAGUUCUUUUGUGAAGAUCAAACCCGCCUGGGUGAAGGCUGAUCAUGCGGCUGAGGGUGCUUUUGUGUUUGGAGGUCCCUUCCUCAUGGAUUAGAGCUCCCGCCUGGCCUUUCCAGAGGCCACAGAGGAGGAGAAGCAGCUAAGCCUCACCAUGAUGGCCCAGUGGACCCACUUUGCCCGGACAGGGGACCCCAAUAGCAAGGGUCUGCCUCCUUGGCCCCGAUUCAACCAGGCGGAACAAUAUCUGGAGAUCAACCCAGUGCCACAGGCCGGACAGAAGUUCAGGGAGGC